UACGUAGGGUGCAAGCGUUAAUCGGAAUUACUGGGCGUAAAGGGCGCGUAGGCGGCUUUGCAAGUGACGGGUGAAAUCCCUCGGCUUAACCGAGGAACUGCCUGUCAAACUGCAUGGCUUGAGACCGGGAGAGGUGAGUGGAAUUCCCAGUGUAGCGGUGAAAUUCGUAGAUAUUCGCAAGAACACCAGUGGCGAAGGCGGCUUACUGGUCCGGUUCUGACGCUGAGGCGCGAAAGCGUGGGGAGCAAACAGG
rnacentral:rRNA from 1 species